UGCAGUCGAACGAAGUAGCAAUACUUAGUGGCAGACGGGUGAGUAACAUGUGGGUAUCUACCCUUUGGCCUGGAAUAACACGAGGAAACUUGUGCUAAUACCGGAUAAGUCUUUACGGAGAAAGCUUUAUGCACCAUUGGAUGAGCCCGCACUUGAUUAGUUUGUUGGUAGGGUAAUGGCCUACCAAGACUAUGAUCAAUAGCUGAUUUGAGAGGAUGAUCAGCCACAUUGGGACUGAGACACGGCCCAAACUCCUACGGGAGGCAGCAGUGGGGAAUCUUGCACAAUGGAGGAAACUCUGAUGCAGCGAUGCCGCGUGAGUGAAGAAGGCCUUUGGGUUGUAAAGCUCUUUCGUCGGGGAAGAAAAUGACUGUACCCGAAUAAGAAGGUCCGGCUAACUUCGUGCCAGCAGCCGCGGUAAUACGAAGGGACCUAGCGUAGUUCGGAAUUACUGGGCUUAAAGAGUUCGUAGGUGGUUGAAAAAGUUGGUGGUGAAAUCCCAGAGCUUAACUCUGGAACUGCCAUCAAAACUUUUCAGCUAGAGUAUGAUAGAGGAAAGCAGAAUUUCUAGUGUAGAGGUGAAAUUCGUAGAUAUUAGAAAGAAUACCAAUUGCGAAGGCAGCUUUCUGGAUCAUUACUGACACUGA
rnacentral:rRNA from 1 species